CCUACGGGAGGCAGCAGUGAGGAAUAUUGGUCAAUGGGAGAGAUCCUGAACCAGCCAAGCCGCGUGCGGGAAGACGGCCCUAUGGGUUGUAAACCUCCUUUGUCGGGGAACAAAACCCGGGACGUGUCAAGGACUGCGUGUAUCCGAAGAAAAAGCAUCGGCUAACUCCGUGCCAGCAGCCGCGGUAAUACGGAGGAUGCGAGCGUUAUCCGGAUUUAUUGGGUUUAAAGGGUGCGUAGGCGGUCCGUUAAGUCAGCGGUAAAAUUGCGGGGCUCAACCCCGUCGGGCCGUGAGAACUGGCAGGCUUGAGUGGGCGAGAAGUACGCGGAAUGCGCGGUGUAGCGGUGAAAUGCAUAGAUAUCGCGCAGAACUCCGAUUGCGAAGGCAGCGUACCGGCGCCAGACUGACGCUGAGGCACGAAAGCGUGGGGAUCGAACAGGAUUAGAUACCCGGGUAGUC
rnacentral:rRNA from 1 species